rnacentral:tRNA from 1 species
GGGGCUGUAGCUCAGUGGCAGAGCACUUGCCUUGCAAGCAUGACGCACUGGGUUCAAUCCUCAGCACCACA